GGCGUCCUGCAUCUCUUCGAGCGGGACUUUGGUCACAGACCACAGAAACAAAAAGUUCUGUGACUUCCUCAAAUAGCUGCUUUUUGUUUAUUAGACAUGGCGCUCCAGAUUGAAGCGGAUUUACCACCUGGCCUUUCUGGUCUGAAAAAUGUUGAUGCCCUGCUUCGGUGUCCAAUUUGCUUCGACUUCCUCAAUAUUUCAAUGAUGACAAAAUGCUCUCACAACUUUUGCUCUUUGUGCAUCAGACAAUUUCUUUGCUACAAGUUGCAGUGUCCAGUUUGCAAUACACAAGCAACAGAACAAGAUCUAAGAAACAACCGUUUAUUGGAUGACUUGGUCGUAAACUUUCAAGCUGCAAGGCAGCAGUUGUCAAAAGCAAAUUUUGACUCUCCUCCAAUAUCGCCCAAGACCCCAGCUUCAGCUGUCAAAUGUAAAACUCCCAGAGCGAGGCCCCAGAAGUGUAACAGCUCCGUUCUGAGCAACUUUUUCCAAAAGAAGUCCAAAACACCUCCAGCUAAAGAAACCCAACGAGAUGGUUCUGUCUCUCAGUGGGUCCAGCGGGGAAAAAUACAGACUGCACACACUCACCGUGCAAAUGAUGCUGACCUACAUUCAGCAACUGCUCGUCUUCCAGUGACCGUGAAGGAAGAGCCGAUGGAUGUGGAGGAGGCAUCUGUCCAGGGUUUGAUGACUGUCAAACAGGAGGACACAUCCUCGCACAGUUUCAGCACCGGGGUUGAGAUGGCACAUUCCUCUUCACCAUCGAUAGACGUGAAGCCCGUAAUCAAAGUGGAGUGCCCCGUGUGUUCUGUCAGUGUGUCACAGCAGUUUAUCAACAAGCAUCUGGACACAUGUCUUAGCAGUGGAGAGAAGAAAGAAAGCUUGAGGAGCUCCCUUGGCAGGACGAGGCAUCCAAUGACCAAACUGGUGUACAACCUACUUUCCAUGCAUGAGUUGAAGAGGAGGCUGAAGGAAUGCCACCUCUCAAUGCAGGGCUCUCGAGACCAGCUGAUCAAAAGACACCAGCAGUUUGUCCACAUAUACAACGCCCAGUGUGAUUCCCUAAACCCACAAUCAGCUGAAGAUAUUGCCAAACAGGUGGAGGCCAACGAGAAGAUCAGGAACCAACUGCAGGGGAAAGCCAAACCUGCCAUGGUUUUCACAAAGAAUCAGACUGAGAAGGAAAUUGAUGAGGUGCAUUCAAAUUAUAGGAAGCAGCACAGCAGCGACUUUUCCCGCCUUAUCGCCCAUGUCCGGGGUCGCCUAGAGACCACAAGGCAGACUCGUAUCAAACAGGAAGUCAUAGUGGAGAGAGAGGAAGAGACGCCCUCUGCAGAUCAAGUUGAAGAAUCAAAGAGCUGCUUAGUGAUAAAGGUAGAAGACAGUGACGAGGAGCCAUUAGCGAGAGGGAUUGAGUUGUCACCCAGCCCCACUUACAGUGACGUGUCCAUCAGCAGUUCUCUUUCUGACAUCUUUGGUCCAGAGCCUGCCAGAAACCUUGAGUUGAUUUAAGGUAAUGCAUGGUGUUUAUGGCUUUGGGACAGUCCCUCCGAGACUCAUAGCGGAUGCUCCUUCCAUGACUGAACAUCAUGAUCAGUAGAGACACAGAGAGGAACUCAGUCCAAAAGCGAACGUCAAGCUCCAGAGGAGACGAUGCAGCUUCGUCGCACGUUCCAGGAAAACGAAAGCGUAAAAAGUAAGGAGAGAUGGAAGACAGAGAAGGCAAGAGAGAGAGAGAGAGAGAGAGAGAGAGAAAGAUCUCUCACGGACACUGAACUCAAGGAAUGAUUUUUUUUUUUUUUUUUUUUUUCUCUACACAUCCCUCUCUGGCACUUAUUUUCUGAAGUUGCACAGUUAACUUCUUCAUGGUGUGAAUAAAUGUUGAGUAUUUUAACAUA